rnacentral:lncRNA from 1 species
AAACAACAGGAUCGCUUCCAGGUUACAGUAUUGAAAUUAGAAUCCACCACUAAUACUACACAACAUCUCUUACCAAGUCAGAUCAUCUUCGAUAAGAAGAAUCACUGUCAACUAUUUCAGCUUGCACCAACCUCAUCAACUUUCCUGAACACUCCUCGACCACUGGAUCCUCAACUCUGUCUCCUCGCCUAGCAUUAGCCUUAUUCCCAAUCUCAAUCAAUCAUCUCAUCUUUCAGCCUUUCUGAAAUGGUUAGAAGAGAAUAGCAAGAGUGAGCAACAAUGCUCAGCAAGUAAUAAUAAACAAUAACAAUUCUGAAUCAAUAAGAUAGAAGUUCAAAGGCUCAAGAUACUUUGGUAAAAGAUUCGACAUAAAUUCAUAAGAUUAAGGUAUUGUAUAGAAUGAUUCACAAUACCUUGCAUCAAUGGAAUACUGGAGUAAUUCAAUCUUUCCAAGAGAAUUAUUGAAUUGGACUAUCACAUUUUAAUUAAAACCAAGGUUAGGCAGCUGAUCAGUUCCGCACUAACCCCGAGCAGGCCCCGCCAUGCUCUAUCACUGGAUCCAAGGCACUCAUUGGCCUAACAUGACCACGAAUCUGGUCCACAGGUUUAUAUAAAAACAAUAAUCCAAUUCUCUAAUUCAAUUCAAGAAGCCAAUGUAAAUUAACAGAACAUCAUCAUAAAUAUCAUCAACAACAGAAUAAUUUCAAUUCAAACUUUGAUAAUAAUCUAUUCAUAAAUCAUGAUCCAUCAUUUCAUAAAUCACAGUUCAGGAAAUCCUCAACUAUUCAGUAUCCUCCAUUAUCGGCUAAGCAACUGAAUUUAGCCUGCUAAACCAGCAUGACAAUGGCGGGUUGAAUAAUCAAGAAGAUCCCAAUUCAUUCAAAGCUCCAACUAUCACUGAGCAACACAUGCUUCAAUGACAAUCUGAACUUCGAAUUAAUUAAUAACACGGAAAUUCUUUAGAUUCUUAAAGAAUAGAAAGAAUAGAUUCGAACAUAUGCACUUUUAAAUAUAGAAAGGAAAGAUACGAAUUCUUGCAACAGAUACCAAAGGAAUGGAUCAGAAUAUUUGCGAUAUAUCCAAGAGAAAGGGUUCAUGAUACUUGCAACACAUAUAAAAAGAAUGGAUCAGAAUAUGCAAUAUAUCCAAAAGCAGGGUGCAGGAUACUUGCCUUAAAUCUGACUCCAGUCUCACAUCUCUAUCUCAUGUUUCCACUUUCACAAUCUAUCCAUAUUAUAAUUUCUAGACCAUCUCUAGCCGUACUCUAUUCGCCACAUCGUUUCGCUUACUCGAUUCAUCCCUUAUUCGCUUUGCAAUACCACUUGUCCUUCUGAACGUCUU